UUGCUUUAACAGCACAUAUACUAAAAAUUGGAAUGAUACAGAGAAGAUUUGCAUGGCUCCUGUGUGAGCAUGACACUCAAAUUCAUGAAGCAUUCCAUAUUUUU